rnacentral:rRNA from 1 species
GACGAACGCUGGCGGCGUGCUUAACACAUGCAAGUCGAACGGUAAGGCCCUUGGGGGUACACGAGUGGCGAACGGGUGAGUAACACGUGGGUGAUCUGCCCUGCACUUCGGGAUAAGCCUGGGAAACUGGGUCUAAUACCGGAUAGGACCCUGGGAUGCAUGUCCUGGGGUGGAAAGCUUUUGCGGUGUGGGAUGGGCCCGCGGCCUAUCAGCUUGUUGGUGGGGUGAUGGCCGACCAAGGCGACGACGGGUAGCCGGCCUGAGAGGGUGACCGGCCACACUGGGACGGAGAUACGCCCCAGACUCCUACGGGAGGCAGCAGAGGGGAAUAUUGCACCAUGGGCGCAAGCCUGAUGCAGCGACGCCGCGUGGGGGAUGACGGCCUUCGGGUUGUAAACCUCUUUCAGCACCGACGAAGCGCAAGUGACGGUAGGUGCAGAAGAAGGACCGGCCAACUACGUGCCAGCCGCCGCAGUAA